rnacentral:tRNA from 1 species
AAGAGAUUAGUUUAAUUAAAAACUUUUGAUUUCGGCUCAAAAGAUUAUGGUUAAAGUCCAUAACCCCUUA